rnacentral:rRNA from 1 species
GCAGUCGAGCGGACUUGAUGGGAGCUUGCUCCCUGAUAGUCAGCGGCGGACGGGUGAGUAACACGUGGGCAACCUACCUUUAAGACUGGGAUAACUUCGGGAAACCGGAGCUAAUACCGGAUAACAUGUAAGACCACAUGGUCUUACAUUAAAAGAUGGCUUCGGCUAUCACUUAUAGAUGGGCCCGCGGCGCAUUAGCUAGUUGGUGAGGUAAUGGCUCACCAAGGCGACGAUGCGUAGCCGACCUGAGAGGGUGAUCGGCCACACUGGGACUGAGACACGGCCCAGACUCCUACGGGAGGCAGCAGUAGGGAAUCUUCCGCAAUGGACGAAAGUCUGACGGAGCAACGCCGCGUGAACGAUGAAGGCUUUCGGGUCGUAAAGUUCUGUUGUUAGGGAAGAACAAGUACCAGAGUAACUGCUGGUACCUUGACGGUACCUAACCAGAAAGCCACGGCUAACUACGUGCCAGCAGCCGCGGUAAUACGUAGGUGGCAAGCGUUAUCCGGAAUUAUUGGGCGUAAAGCGCUCGCAGGCGGUCUUUUAAGUCUGAUGUGAAAGCCCACGGCUCAACCGUGG